rnacentral:rRNA from 1 species
AUUGAACGCUGGCGGCACGCUUAACACAUGCAAGUCGAGCGGUAACAUGGGUAGUAGCAAUACUAUCUGAUGACGAGCGGCGGACGGGUGAGUAACACGUAGGAACUUGCGCAGGAGAGGGGGACAAUCAAGGGAAACUUUGGCUAAUACCGCAUAUCCACGAGAGAGGAAAGCUGCCAGCAAUGGUGGCGGUAUUGGAGAUGCCUGCGUCCGAUUAGCUAGUUGGUGAGGUAAUAGCUUACCAAGGCGAGGAUCGGUAACUGGUCUGAGAGGACGACCAUUCACACUGGGACUGAGACACGGCCCAGACUCCUACGGGAGGCAGCAGUGGGGAAUCUUGGACAAUGGGGGCAACCCUUAUCCAGCGAUGCCGCGUGAGUGAAGAAGGCCUUCGGGUCGUAAAGCUCUUUAGGCUGGGAAGAAGGUUAGUAGUUUAAGAGAUAACUAGCUUGACUGUACCAGCAGAAUAAGCACCGGCAAACUCUGUGCCAGCAGCCGCGGUAA